rnacentral:rRNA from 1 species
UACGUAGGGUGCAAGCGUUGUCCGGAAUUUAUUGGGCGUAAAGAGCUCGUAGGCGGUUUGUCGCGUUCUGCUGUGAAAACUCAGGGCUUAACCCUGAGCCUGCAGUGGGUACGGGCAGACUAGAGUGUGGUAGGGGAGAUCGGAAUUCCUGGUGUAGCGGUGGAAUGCGCAGGAUAUCAGGAGGAACACCGGUGGCGAAGGCGGAUCUCGUGGGCCAAGUAACUGACGCUGGAGGAGCGAAAAGCAUGGGGAGCGAACAGGA